CAUUGACUCCACAUGGUGAAAGAAAUCACACCUCACAGUUUUUGAGUGUCAUGCCGAGAAUUAUGCUGGGGCUAGGAUUUAAUGGCCAUGCCAGGAAUUGGAAGCAGCACCUGUGGACCAGAAUUUAAAUCCCAUGGACGAUUUUUCCUGAUGUUUUUAUAGAGCAUGAAUGAGGAUGUAAUUUAAAAAUAAGCCCUGCAUCCUAUUUAAAAAGAUAAGAAGGAGCUGGAUGUGUGUAAAUGUUUGGAUUAAACAUGACCAAAGACUGCACUGUAUUUAAAUGGCUUGGCACUUUAAACAUGAUGGAAUCAGGCUUCAUAAUGGUGCAAGCAUCUACCUAAUGGAACUAAAUUUGCAAUACAGGUGCAUAGUGGAAAAGAAGGACAGACAAGUGGCACUGAGAAUCUAAGUGAGACGGCAUCAAAGAAUGAAACAUAUUGAGUUUAAUGAUUGACCUUAUUGGAGGCUUUCUGCUCUGACAAUGAAGAUGUGAAUUAUCCUAUUAUUAUAAGCAGAUGGAUCAUCUUAUUAAUGCACCCUAGCCUUUCACAUUUUUAUUUAACUUUAAAUUAAAUCGAACAAUUUCAGUACCAUCCCUUAAAGGAAGCAGAAGAUGAUUCUAGAAAUAUUUUCUGUGGAACUUUAAUAUAUUUUUGUCUUUCCAGAGACACACUUUCAGCUCUGCUACACUAUAAUGCUUUGGCUUUCAUUUGGAUAUAGCCGAGGUGUCUUGGAAAUUUCUCCGUAAAUUCCUUCAAAUCCAGAAGAGCUGAAAGAGAUUCUAGGAGCCUGUGCUUCUCUUAAUGAUUCCACAUGGAACAGCAUCUUUGGAAUUCUGAUUCUGACAUCGUCAGCCACUUGAUAGCCAGUGCUACAAGGAGCAGCAGAGGAGCCAUAAUCAAAUGUUUUCUGAAUUCAUCCUCAGUACAACUCUCCCCUGAAACCAAAAUUAGGCAGCAAAGUAAUAUUUGUUUAGAAACACUUACCAGGCACCUGCUUAAUACUAUAAAUGCUAUCCUGGCAAAAUCUUCACACACAAAGGAAAUAUCUCACUGGAAGGCCAAUAUCUGCAACUACUGAAAAGAACAGAGCUGUUUCAAACUCACCGACAAAGGCUUCUGUCUUAGCCCCUAUUCCACUCUCAUUUUUUUUUCUUUUUGGUUUUGUUUCCUUUCAGCAUAUUUUAGGAACUAAUCAGCUUUAUAAAAGGUACCACUGUUAAUCUA